rnacentral:ncRNA from 2 species
CGCAUCAGCCGGAGUGCUGGUGCCUGUGUCUAGCAGGUGAAAAGGGAAUGCGCAGCCCCGCGUCGGGGUCAGGCGCAGCCGCCCCCGCGACCGUGACCGGAAAGGGCCCGAAGCCACUGGCGACAUCGCCGGGAAGGCCGGGUUCCGUUGGGAUCGGCAGGACUGCCUGCCGCCCAGUUCCGCAAGCCGGGAGACCUGCCAGUGGCCGCGCCGUGGA